UACAGAGGUGGCAAGCGUUGUUCGGAAUUACUGGGCGUAAAGGGCGCGUAGGCGGCCUACUAAGUCAGACGUGAGAUCCCCCGGCUUAACCUGGGAACUGCGUCUGAUACUGGAAGGCUUGAGUAUGGGAGAGGGAUGUAGAAUUCCAGGUGUAGCGGUGAAAUGCGUAGAUAUCUGGAGGAAUACCGGUGGCGAAGGCGGCAUCCUGGACCAUUACUGACGCUGAGGCGCGAAAGCUAGGGGAGCAAACGGG
rnacentral:rRNA from 1 species